AUUACGCGCGGUCCAAGACUCUCCUUCAUGUUGCUUGUACGUGAAACAAGUAAAGUAAAAGGUAUAUAAUAGCGAUACAAUUUCUAAGAAACCGAGCGAGAAGCCAUGAAUGGACCUCCCUAGAGGAAAUUGCUUGGCUGUAAUCUGUUAUAAAAGCAGCGUUAUAGGUGCUUAAGUUAGCUCGAUAUAGGCAAAGAGGAGCAUGGAUUCCAUGAAUUGAAAGAAGAGAUAGUCAGGUACAUAGUUUAGUUUCCUUGAUGGGUUAUUACAGAUUCUAUUUUCAUUAUAAUAAUUCGUUGCUCUCCGCUAUGCUUCUUUUUUUCUUCUUUUGUAAGAUUUCUUCUAACAUCUGAUUUUAUCUUAGCAAACAGAGAGCUGGAAGAAUAACCGACUGAUCAAUAUAGACAGGCGAGAUUAGCAGGGGGGGAAAGCGCAUAUGAGAGAUCCAGAAAGGGACAUGGCAAGAUAAAUUUUUAAAGAAAUGUGAAAAGAAAUAAGCAAAACUAAGAGAGGAAACUAGCCCGGAGGAGCCUUGCCAACCAGCAUCUACCAGAUUUUGGAACUUGGCAUGAAGCCUAUGUUGGUUUGCAGCUAUCUGCUAAGAGAUUAGAUUAGUUCAACCCACUUUUAGCCUAUGUUGGUUUCCUUGUGCCUCUCUCAUAUGCGUUUUUGUCCCUCGGCCGAUCUCAUCCAUGUCAGCUGAGAUCUAUACAAGCAUUAUUCUGUUCAAAGACAGGGAUGGUAUGAUUUUAUCCAGGUCAUGAUAAUCUAGUUUUCUUCUGACUAUUAUGCCUUGUUGGUUUCCUUUCUCUGUAAUCAGGUAGCUCUUGUGAUCGGAAAAGAAGACAUCUUGGUUUGCUUUCCCUGUAUCAAACUGAGGAGGAAUCUUAUCAUUUAUGGGAAAUCUUGAGGUGUGUAAAUUGGGACUUUUCUCAGACCUUUCAGAACCGAGUCAAGACAAGCCCUUCCUUCGAAAACCGCGGAUGGCUCUGUGGCUCACAAGGAAGGAGGAGAUUUUGAAUUCUUGUCGGGAUUUUCAUCAAAGUUAAAGGAAUUUCCAAGAGUAAUGGGAUUGGUUAGUUCUGGUGGAAAAAAAGGAAAACGUGGGGAAAGUAACUUCUAUGAGAAGCAAAGGUCAAGAUAUAGCAAGGGGCAAAAAGGAAGGAAACAUGAUUUUGGCAAAAGCAAAGUGCAGCCGCAGAGAUACGAUUCAUGGAAGCUACGGAACUGCUUCCCAAGAUCCCAUCCCAUCAUUUGCUACUCCUAUUUUCCACACCAGCUCGCCUCCAUUUGAAAGACUAUUCAUUUUGAAAAGUCCCGUUUAGGCUAUUAAUGGCCCCAGCAGUCAAAUAAUCCUUGUGACAAGGCCACUACAAACUUUCCACUGGUUGGGAAACCAUGUUACAAGGAAUCAUUCUUGAAAAAAGGAAAGAAAGGUUAAAUAUACGGAUCUGUUGCUAUUGUCCUUCAAUAUUUUAAUGCAAAAUUUCAGCUAUUUUUGUUUAUAAA